rnacentral:rRNA from 1 species
UACGUAGGGGGCAAGCGUUGUCCGGAAUCAUUGGGCGUAAAGAGCGUGUAGGCGGCCAGAUAAGUCCGCUGUGAAAUCUCGAGGCUCAACUUCGGAGCGUGAUCGGUGGAACUGUCUGGCUAGGAGUCCGGUAGGGGAGUCGCGGAAUUCCCGGUGUAGCGGUAGAAAUGCGCAGUAUGGCGGAGGAACACCAGUGGCGAAGGCGGCACUCUGGGCCGGAACUGACGCUGAGGAGCGAAAGCGUGGGGAGCGAACAGG